UGUAUUCUGGGAGUUCGGAGGCCGCAGCGGCGCCUGAGGGAGCUCGGCCGCCAUUUUGUGCCUCUCGCUCAGUCAGGGGCGGCCGCGCGGGCGCUGCGGCUCUGAGGGAGUGCUCGGCUCUCCUGCUCUGUAGGUAGGGGGCGACGCCGCCAUGGGCCGUAAGAAGAAGAAGCAGCUGAAGCCGUGGUGCUGGUAUUGUAAUAGGGAUUUUGAUGAUGAGAAAAUCCUUAUACAGCAUCAAAAAGCAAAGCACUUUAAAUGCCAUAUAUGUCAUAAGAAACUGUAUACAGGACCUGGUUUAGCUAUACACUGCAUGCAGGUACAUAAAGAAACAAUAGAUGCUGUUCCAAAUGCUAUUCCUGGAAGAACAGACAUUGAACUGGAAAUCUAUGGAAUGGAAGGCAUUCCAGAAAAAGAUAUGGAGGAACGGAGGAGGUUACUUGAACAAAAAACUCAGGAGAGCCAGAAAAAGAAACAACAGGAUGAUUCUGAUGAGUAUGAAGAUGAUGAAUCUGCAGCUUCAACUUCAUUUCAACCCCAGCAAGUUCAGCCACAGCAGGGGUACAUUCCCCCAAUGGCACAGCCAGGUUUGCCUCCUGUGCCAGGUGCACCAGGGAUGCCUCCAGGUAUACCCCCAUUAAUGGCAGGUGUUCCACCUAUGAUGCCUGGAAUGCCUCCAGUUAUGCCUGGAAUGCCACCUGGAAUGAUGCCAAUGGGUGGAAUGAUGCCUCCUGGGCCAGGAAUCCCACCUCUAAUGCCUGGUAUGCCACCAGGUAGGUCAGGGUUGUCGAACUCGUACUAUGGGAUGCCCCCGCCUGUGGGGCCUCGGCCUGGCAUGCCUCCAAUGACACAAGCACAGCCUGUUACAGCCCCGGGCAUUCUGAACCGGCCUCCAGCUCCUGCUGCAACAGCCCCGACCCCACAGCCUCCAGUUACUAAACCACUCUUCCCGAGCGCGGGGCAGAUGGGGACACCUGUCACAAGCUCAAGUGCAGCUUCCUCCAAUUCAGAAAGUCUCUCAGCAUCUUCUAACGCUCUGUUUCCUAGCACAGCACAAGCUGCAGCAGCUGUGCCAGGGCCAGUUGGUACCGAUUUCAAACCUUUGAAUUCUACACCCGCGACAACAACGGAACCCCCCAAACCAACAUUCCCUGCUUACACUCAGUCUACAGCCUCAACCACUAGCACAACAAACAGCACUGCAGCUAAACCAGCUACAUCUAUCACAAGUAAGCCUGCUACCCUCACAACAACCAGUGCAACCAGUAAGUUGAUCCAUCCAGAUGAGGAUAUAUCACUGGAAGAGAGAAGGGCACAGUUGCCUAAAUACCAGCGCAAUCUUCCUCGACCGGGCCAGGCUGCCCUGGGUAAUCCACCGGUUGGACCAAUUGGAGGUAUGAUGCCACCACAGCCAGGAAUUCCUCCACAGCAGCAAGGAAUGAGACCUCCCAUGCCACCUCAUGGUCAGUAUGGUGCUCAUCACCAGGGCAUGCCAGGGUAUCUUCCUGGAGCAAUGCCUCCAUAUGGUCAGGGACCUCCGAUGGUGCCCCCGUACCAGAGUGGACCUCCUCGCCCUCCCAUGGGAAUGAGACCUCCGGUCAUGUCGCAAGGUGGCCGCUACUGAUGCUCCUACUCACGCUCUAAUAGGUUUUUAGAAGUGAAGUAUAGUAAAUAUGGUUCGUUAAAUUGUGAAGGCGCUGGAAUUACAUGAACAUACCACCUUAAAGCCCUGCCAUAGGACAGGCUGAGGCAGAGUCUCAGUGUUGCCCUGUUCAGUCUGAGGCAAGUGGGAUUUACUUUAUUCAUUCUGGGGGCUUUCACAGCUUUAUGGCUGUUGGAUAUUUAUGUCCCCAAACUUGCAGCAAGUUUGGUGAAGGCCCCUAAAUUUAUUUUAAUUUAGGUUUUUUUAUUCUCUUUUGGUAGAUGGGCUCUAUAUUAAUAUUUAUCUUUUUAUUAUCACUGUGUUUUUAAGAAUCUUAAGGGGAGGGAACCUGUUUUAAGAUGUGUGGGUACCUUUUCUCUAAAUGGAAUGCAUUUCCUUCGAGGCUCUCAGGUAGUCCUUUAAGCCACACUGCCCCUCCCCAUCUUUCCCUGCAUUGCAUUUGUGCUGUAUUUGUUUUUGGGUUUGCUGGUGUUGAUUUUGUGUAGUCUCUGAAUUAGUGGCAUGUAAAUACCAAUUAUUAAUGUUUUUUCUUCUGAGGAGGUGUAUCUGUUGAAAAGAUUAAAAUAGGUUUGAACUAGUAAGUUAAUUGCUAUAAAAUUGUUCCCAAAUUACAGAAUAUAGUUUCUUUGAAGAAGGUUAAGGUGUUAAUACUGCUGCGUGUGUGAGCUGCACCUCAACAAAUAUUAAUGUAGAGCCCUGCAGAGAAACAGAAAUCAGAUCCAAGAUGGUAACACAGAAGAGUGAGAAAUCAAAGCUGCAGGUUUUUCACUUUGCCAGUUUCAGGGAGAAUCUUUUCCUCGAUCUCUCAUAAACAUCAAAUUUGAGAUUGUUUUGACUAUUGCAACAGUAGUAAGAGUUGAAAAACUUUAUUGAAAUCUUGUGAAAUUCUGUUGCAUAUUCAAAAUUUGCUUUAUUUGAAGUUCCUUCUUUAACACAGUGACUAGUAAAAAUUUCUAUCUUUUGUGAAGAAAAAGGUGCUCAUUCUGUUGCAGAUCCAUUGUGAAUGCUUGAGGUUGCUUAAAGACAACCUCAGUUUCAGAACAGCAGAUUUUGCCCAAGGAGGUCUUGCAGCAUAUCAACAGUGAAAUAGUAAAUAAACAAAUGUGGAAGUCUUGAUUUACCCUUUUUUUAUUAUUAUUUUUGAGAUAUUUUUAAAGUUUGUGGUGAGGCUUUUUUAUGAGCAUAGACUCUUUUGUUUCUUGGAGAUUUUGCUAAAUAAUGACUUCUAAUGGGAUUUCAGGUAAUUUUAAUUCAAGUAUAGAGCUGCAAUUAAUUUAGAGGAGUGGAUUGCACAUUGCUUUUAAACCCUUCUUUGUACUCUGCCCUUUGCAUUUUUCCUGUAGAAGCUCCCCCUCAAAUCCCUGUCUGACUGGAAAAUGGACAUGUCCAUGUUAACUGUUUCAGGAUGGUUAUUGAGCAUGGUCUUGCUUUGCUAACUCUCAUUGUGGUGCUCCCCUGAUAACAGUGAUGAUGAGAACAACUCUUGAAGAUAAACUACUGCAACUAGUAUUUCUUUCACACUUAAUUUAUAGGAACAUUUGGCUGAGUUCUUAUUUCCAUAGAAUGUCUGAAGAAACUGUCUAACUCAGUGCCUUGUGGGACUUGUACUUCUUGCUUCAAGUAUCUGAAUCUCUUAGAAUCUCAAAAUAAAACAUAGGCAAAUUUCAAAUGCCUCUAUUUUGAGGGAUGAAGUGUGUUCUUCAGUUAAAUUCCAGUAUUGCAGCUCUCAUUGCAGCAGUUUCUGUAUCACAAAGUUGUACAUCAUGCUGUUAGUGAAAUUUCUUUACUAAAGGUGACGUUAUUUCAGUUACGUGACUUACAGAUUAACAAAAUGAGGUCUUGGAGUUCAGUUUUUUUAAGCUUAAGUAGGGGCACAUAUGGGGUUACUGAUACUCUGCUAAAUUGGGUAAAUUUGCACCUUAUGUAUUAAACAAGAAAAGUAACUUGGAGACGUGGUAAAUAAGUACAUACCACACACAAAGAGCUUUUAAAAGAUCUGUGUGCUUGCAGUCAGUCAGACCAGGGAAACUUGUGGUGCCUGGGCUCUGUAGGAAUGCAGCUGCCUGUGACUGCUGUUUUGUCUGUCAUGGCUGGCCUAGGUUGGAAGUAGUUUAGAGGACAGAAAGUUUGGGGACAGCUGUUUAAGGGAUCAAGAUACAACAAAGUGUUUGUAAAGUGUAAUGUAGAUCAAGGUUCUUUCUGAAGUCCUGAAAAGCACUUGGUGAGAGGUUUCUGGCAUGCUGUAAGCUGCAGCUUAGUGCAGUCUUGACAGAGCACAGAUUCCCAGUAAGGCUGUGUUAAAAGAAAUGCAGUUUUACUGCAAUCCUGGGAAGGUGUGGCUGAGGGGGCUGAGCACUGGAGCUGCUGCUUUGGCAGCCAGCCAUCCCCUGUCCUGAACCACAGCAUCCAGGGUGUUAUCCUCAAACCAUUUGUCCCUGGCAUCCUACUGAGUCACCUUGACUGUCCCUGGUAUGAGUAAUUGCAAGGCUUGGUAUUUGUACACCUGGACACUGCUGUGAAUAGUGAGGCCCUUGCACCUUUUGAACAAGUUUACAGUAACCUCUUGAAUUCUUAUGGGCUUUCCUGCAGUAGGGACAGCCAGCAACACUGCUGUUUUAAUGGCACUGAAUUUGACUUCUGCAGAAAUAUUGUCUUACCUUAGAGUUUUUCUUUCUUGAGGAUAAAAAGAAGUGAAAAAGUUUUGAGAAAAUAGAAUUUUAAUGCCAGUAUCAUCUUAACUAAAGAAGCAUAUGACAUUGAGAGCUUGAAAGCUUCUUAUAAAUUCUCUUGUUAGCAGUUCAGGUGUGUCUCUGGUAACUAACUGCCUUAUAUAAGGUUCAAGCUUCUGGCAUAUUAAACUUUUAUUCCUUAAAUUUAGUCUAAAUCUCUACCAUAUUCAAGAAGAGGGCAUGGGUUGUAGAAUUUUGGCUUCUGCUGCUCUUAGUAGCCAAUAUGUAUAACUGGUUUUUGAUAACAGCAAUUUUAAUUACCAGGAAUUAAUGCAGUACAACCAAAGGAAGCUAUUUCACAAUCUCCCAACUUAGGAAGCUGUGUAAUGCUUUGAGAUAAAGAUAUGCAGAGCUUGUUUCUUUUCUCUCUUUGCAUUGAGUUACUUGCACUGAAUUCUUUAGCUUCUUUCUCAUAAAUUUAAGUGGGAAAAAAUACUUUACUAUUUUGCUUGUAAAGUUCAGAAUAAGAACACACACUUUAAGACUUUAAUGAAGGAACCUGGCAAUGUAAGUAUUGUAAUUUCCUUUAUGUUUUUAGUAGGCAAUAGGUGACCUUGUUGAACUUACGGGUUAUGUAUGAAAAAUCAGAAGGGCAAGUUGAAAGUACUUUCGUAGUUGCCUUUACUUCACAUGCUUUUCUUAAGCAACAAAUUGCAGUAAUUGAAGUUUGGCAGCUUUUUUAUUUUUUUUUUUUUUAAUGAAAAACUAAAUUAUGGGUUAAACACUUUGGUUUAAUACAAUUUGUGUUUCUGUUAACUAGCAGCAGAAUUUCAGCAUUUGCUACUUACUGGUAGAGAAGAAAAAUUCCACAGAACUGCCAGUACAGGUUAGUUUAAUCUGUAAGUACCUGAUGUUCCUAUUUGAAAUAAUUUGUUCAAAUGAUACCACUUAAAUACCCGAGGGGAAUUUCAGUCUCUGAAAUGUGAUUGUUACCUACUACUGAUCUCAGUAGUGAGUGAACAGACUAGACUUUUUUGGAAGAUCUAUAAUGGAUUUAACUAUCCUUGUGGAUAGGUAAAAAAUAUCUGCAAGCACCUUUAAGGAAAAUUUAUGCAGACUCUUGACAAGCAGCCUUUGAUAUUACUGAAAGGUGUGAAAAUCUAAAGUCAAAAUCACUGUGCUAACAUGCCAGCUAUUAAUGAGGCUGGUUUUUAUCAGCAAACCAGCAGGAUCCUGUGUUUGUUGUGUUGGGGAUUAAGCCUUUCUGUUUGUAAGAAUCCAUAGCAGUUUGUAAUCUUUCUGUUUUCUUUAGCUAUUGCUAAUUACCCUUUCUUACCCACAGAUUUUUGCUUUGUUAGGUUGGUAAGCAGGAGAUUGUUCUUCUAUGUUUUUUUAAUUAUUACUUUUGUUAGUUUAUUUCAGCACUUCAGAGGCUGCCUGUGAACAUGUUUUUUUUGUCCAGCUGUUUUAUCUUACUCCAGAGUUACUGUUCCGCCUCUAUUUUAAUUCUGCCCUUUCCAUAUUCCCACAAAUUUUUAAGAAACCUUGAAAUAGGAAAGAUUCUUUGUGAAUGGAUAAAAGAUGCAGCUUUUUCUGGAAUGGCUGCAUACAUUUAUUUCUGUUUAGACUUUGUAUAUCCUAUCUCUGCAUAUCAGCAGAAGAGAUGAAAACUUUCUCUGUGCUGUAGCACAAAGCAGAGAUCCACAGCUGGAUGAACUGUAAGACUGUGCUUUAAUUCACCUUUUAAGACCAUGAUGUCCCACUCUGAAUUUGAGGGGCUUUUGACAUCACUGGUGGAUAAUACUUAGUCAGUAUGGGGGAGGUCAUAGUUAUGUGGUAGAUGAACGGACACUUCAGUUUUGCCCGCUCCUCUGAGGGGUCUAGAGUGGGUUUGAGUGGCUCUCCACCUCCAGCAGAAUUGCUUGUCUUAGCGUUCUGAAAUCUUAAAGGGUGCUGCAGAAUUCAUCAUUAAAAACAUACACGGUUUCAAAGCAAUUGUAUCUUCCCAGACUUUUGAAUAAUUACACUUGCAACCCAUUGCCUGUCAUCUUCUCUGCAUCAGUUCUUGGUAAUUCACACUAAAUUGCUUUGUCUUCAAUGACCUACAGGCAGAUUUCUGACUGAUGUUGCAUAGGUUUUUCUUCCUGGAAAGUGAAAAAAAGGGAAGUUAUACAUUAAUAUUUAUAAUUUAGUUUUAUCUCUGUUUGCUUAAUCUUAAUUGCAGGUAUACAAGAAUAAGAGGGAUACCUUGUUGUGAGGCCAUUACCCUGUUCACAGAAUGUAUCCAUAUUUCUUACACCCUCUGUGGUUGACCCUAGCUGGUACUUAAGCAAUGCUCAGUACUACGUUGGAGUGAGUAACUGUUUUUGGCUGCUCAAUUACCUUAUCAAGUCCUGGUUUUGACACUGGUUGGAUGCAGACCUGCACUACUUACACACCAGCCUGGCAGUCAGUGGGGAUAACUAUAGAGUGUCUUAACUUAGAGUGUCCACAGUGUCUUAACAGAAAAAAAAAAAGUGCAUUUCUCCAGGAUAGAUCAUAGUAGAAAUCUGGUAGAAUAUCAUCUUUGUGAAACUUUAGAUGGCAAUUACUUAUGGUACUUUUUGGUAGAAUAAAGUUUAUUUUCUUUUGAGAUAGGACCAAAACAAUACUGGAAAAUUGAGGUGAGCAGUGUUGAAUUGUAACUCAGCUUCUGACACACCAUUAGAGCAGUGGUCCAUUGUAAAGUGGUUCAGCAGUCUUCCCUCCCAGCUCUGGUACUGUAUAUUUGGAACAGUUUGUCAUUUCCCACUAUUUGCUUAGACUCCUUGCUGACUCCCAGUUACCCUUUUAGAGUUUGUCACAUGCAGCAAACUAAAAUGAGAACUCCAAGCUGUUUUUAGUACCUUCAUAAAGGACCUUUAGGCACACGAGUGAACAGUGUCCCCUAACAGUAGCAGUAUGACAGAAGUUCGUGUGUUGUGAUGGGGUUUUUUUCUGUAACUUGAUACUGCUUUUGUGUUAAGUGGUAUGAAAGGGCUGGGAUUACUGAUCUUUUUAAAAAGACAGGUGGUGGCAAAAUACUGAUGUUGAAUUUAAUUCAAGAAAGUGAGAGACUGGUAAGUAUGCAUCACUUUAAUGCAUGCAAAUAAUAGUAACAAUAACAAGCUUCACUUUAUAGCAUUCAGUUUACAAAGAAGAUUAAAAGAAAAUGGGCAGCUAACAUCAUUUGCAUCUACUGGGAACCUUCUCUGUCCUUCAGGAAUUGCACAUAUAGCCAUCUGUAAUGUGUGAUCAUUUUGUAACAGUCUCUAAUUAAACAAAUGAAUCACUGUU